rnacentral:tRNA from 1 species
UAGAAAAUGGUGUAAGGAAGCACCGGGAUUUUUGAUUUCCCUGGUAGGGGUUCGAUUCCUCUUUUUCUAA